UGACAUCCCUGAUUGCUCUUGCUCAUACCAUCAUGCUGGUUAUAUGUAGAUUGUGAUUUUGCAAUCAGAACCCAUUCAUUACCACCUAGUAUGCUGCUAGUUUUCUCCUAGGUUCUAAAAUUCUAGAUCUGUGAAGGAGUGAAGGUGAUUUAACACAUUGGUGACAAGUUGACCUGCCUUUGCUAGGCAUUUUUAUGAUUGCUGCUACUGCACUUACUCCAACACUGAACCUACAGAACACAUUUAGCAACAUGUAAUGGAAAGGUUCAAAAAGUUAAGCUGUUAUUUCUGAUGUUAAUUUGUUACAACUACAUUUUUUACUAGUUUUUGUAUGUUACAACGACAUAUUUUCAAGUAUAUUUUUUUUUCUGCAUCAUCCUAUAAUUUGGAUUUAUGCUAAUGCAAUUUCUGAACCUGCUGUACUAAUAUGUGGGGCUGUGGCAGUCUAGCACAGUGGAACUGACUUGCUUCUUUUUCGGAAUUUGAAUCAAGCACUUGCAGGUUUCAAAAGAUUCAAUUUAGAGGGGCUGUGAUGGUGUGUGUAUGAUGCAAAGGGCCAGACCAGGUUUCUUUUGCUAGUUCAACUAUAAGGAAUUCCUCAUGGGAAAUGGUUACGCAGUAAGCUAUUUUUGUAAACGUGAUAGGUGCUUGGACAGUUAGCAUCCCAAUUCCCAAAUAGCUGUUGUGCUUCAGGGAAGCGAAAAAGCCAAUUUAUGCACCUCAUGUAGGAAAUGGAGACAUGUGCAUUGUACUCAAUGCACAAGAUAUCAGUGUUACAGGAAGAAAAAGGACUGAUAAAAUUUACUACUGGCAUGCCGGGUACAUUGGCCAUCUGAAGGAAAGAAGUCUGAAGGACCAGAUAGGGAUAAGAGGAUAGGUUGACCAGGAAAAGAUCCUGCUAUCCUAUUUGUCGAUAACUGACUGAUGGAAAGAAAUUCCAUCCUCAUUGUUUAUGGAAAAAGAUCCAACUGAAGUGAUUCGCAAAACUGUCAUGUACACGCUUCCCCGUAACCGGCUGUGCAAUGUAAGUGAAACAUCAUUUUC